rnacentral:rRNA from 1 species
GACGUAGGAGGCGAGCGUUGUCCGGAUUCAUUGGGAGUAAAGAGCGCGCAGGCGGCUUGGUAAGUCGGAUGUGAAAUCCCGAGGCUCAACCUCGGGUCUGCAUCCGAUACUGCCCGGCUAGAGGUAGGUAGGGGAGAUCGGAAUUCCUGGUGUAGCGGUGAAAUGCGCAGAUAUCAGGAGGAACACCGGUGGCGACGGCGGAUCUCUGGGCCUUACCUGACGCUCAGGCGCGAAAGCUAGGGGAGCGAACUGG